GACGAACGCUGGCGGCGUGCUUAACACAUGCAAGUCGAACGGAAAGGCCCUGCUUUUGUGGGGUGCUCGAGUGGCGAACGGGUGAGUAACACGUGAGUAACCUGCCCUUGACUUUGGGAUAACUUCAGGAAACUGGGGCUAAUACCGGAUAGGAGCUCCUGCUGCAUGGUGGGGGUUGGAAAGUUUCGGCGGUUGGGGAUGGACUCGCGGCUUAUCAGCUUGUUGGUGGGGUAGUGGCUUACCAAGGCUUUGACGGGUAGCCGGCCUGGGAGGGUGACCGGCCACAUUGGGACUGAGAUACGGCCCAGACUCCUACGGGAGGCAGCAGUGGGGAAUAUUGCACAAUGGGCGGAAGCCUGAUGCAGCAGCGCCGCGUGCGGGAUGACGGCCUUCGGGUUGUAAACCGCUUUCGCCUGUGACGAAGCGGGAGUGACGGUAAUGGGUAAAGAAGCACCGGCUAACUACGUG
rnacentral:rRNA from 1 species